rnacentral:rRNA from 1 species
CGCAGCCUGAUCCAGCCAUGCCGCGUGUCUGAAGAAGGCCUUCGGGUUGUAAAGGACUCUUUUCAGGGAAGAAAAGCUUUGGGUUAAUACCCUGGAGUGAUGACUGUACCUGAAGAAUAAGCACCGGCUAACUACGUGCCAGCAGCCGCGGUAAUACGUAGGGUGCGAGCGUUAAUCGGAAUUACUGGGCGUAAAGCGAGCGCAGACGGUUUGUUAAGCAGGAUGUGAAAUCCCCGGGCUCAACCUGGGAACUGCGUUCUGAACUGGCAGGCUAGAGUAUGUCAGAGGGGGGUAGAAUUCCACGUGUAGCAGUGAAAUGCGUAGAGAUGUGGAGGAAUACCGAUGGCGAAGGCAGCCCCCUGGGAUAAUACUGACGUUCAUGCUCGAAAGCGUGGGUAGCAAACAGGAUUAGAUACCCUGGUAGUCCACGCCCUAAACGAUGUCAAUUAGCUGUUGGGGCACUUGAUGCCUUAGUAGCGUAGCUAACGCGUGAAAUUGACCGCCUGGGGAGUACGGUCGCAAGAUUAAAACUCAAAGGAAUUGACGGGGACCCGCACAAGCGGUGGAUGAUGUGGAUUAAUUCGAUGCAACGCGAAAAACCUUUACCUGGUCUU